rnacentral:rRNA from 1 species
UACGGAGGGUGCAAGCGUUAUCCGGAUUCACUGGGUUUAAAGGGUGCGUAGGUGGGCAGUUAAGUCAGUGGUGAAAAUCGUCCGGGCUCAACCCGGAAACUGCCCAUUGAUACUAUCUGUCUUGAAUAUCGUGGAGGUAAGCGGAAUAUGUCAUGUAGCGGUGAAAUGCUUAGAUAUGACAUAGAACACCAAUUGCGAAGGCAGCUUACUACCCGAAUAUUGACACUGAGGCACGAAAGCGUGGGGAUCAAACAGG